rnacentral:rRNA from 1 species
AACGAACGCUGGCGGUGUGCCUCAUACAUGCAAGCCGUACGCGAAUCCUGCCGCAAGGCAGGGUUUGAGUGGCAAACGGGUGCGUAACACGUAGGUAAUCUUCCUUUGAGUUGGGAUAAGCCCUCGAAAGGGGUCUAAUACCGAAUAACACUUCGGGCCGGCAUCGGCCUGAAAUUAAAGAUGGCCUCUGCUUGCAAGCUAUCGCUCGGAGAUGAGCCUGCGGCCGAUUAGUUAGUUGGCGGGAUAAAAGCCCACCAAGACUUCGAUCGGUAGCCGGUCUGAGAGGAUGUCCGGCCACACUGGGACUGAGAUACGGCCCAGACUCCUACGGGAGGCAGCAGUAGGGAAUAUUGCGCAAUAGCCG